AUUGAACGCUGGCGGCAGGCUUAACACAUGCAAGUCGAGCGGUAACAGAGAGAAGCUUGCUUCUCUGCUGACGAGCGGCGGACGAGUGAGUAAUGCCUAGGAAUCUGCCAAGUAGUGGGGGAUAACUUGCCGAAAGGUAAGCUAAUACCGCAUACGUCCUACGGGAGAAAGGAGGGGACCUUCGGGCCUUUCGCUAUUAGAUGAGCCUAGGUCGGAUUAGUUAGUUGGUGAGGUAAUGGCUCACCAAGACCGCGAUCCGUAACUGGUCUGAGAGGAUGAUCAGUCACACUGGAACUGAGACACGGUCCAGACUCCUACGGGAGGCAGCAGUGGGGAAUAUUGGACAAUGGGGGGAACCCUGAUCCAGCCAUGCCGCGUGUGUGAAGAAGGUCUUAGGAUUGUAAAGCACUUUAAGUUGGGAGGAAGAGCAGUUAACUAAUAUUUGACUGUUUUGACGUUACCGACAGAAUAAGCACCGGCUAACUUCGUGCCAGCCGCCGCGGUAA
rnacentral:rRNA from 1 species